rnacentral:rRNA from 1 species
CCUACGGGAGGCAGCAGUCGAGAAUCAUUCACAAUGGGGGAAACCCUGAUGGUGCGACGCCGCGUGGGGGAAUGAAGGUCUUCGGAUUGUAAACCCCUGUCAUGUGGGAGCAAAUUAAAAAGAUAGUACCACAAGAGGAAGAGACGGCUAACUCUGUGCCAGCAGCCGCGGGAAUACAGAGGUCUCAAGCGUUGUACGGAAUCACUGGGGGUAAAGCGUGCGUAGGCUGUUUCGUAAGUCGUGUGUGAAUGGCGCGGGCUCAACCCGCGGACGGCACAUGAUACUGCGAGACUAGAGUAAUGGAGGGGGAACCGGAAUUCUCGGUGUAGCAGUGAAAUGCGUAGAUAUCGAGAGGAACACUCGUGGCGAAGGCGGGUUCCUGGACAUUAACUGACGCUGAGGCACGAAGGCCAGGGGAGCGAAAGGGAUUAGAUACCCGUGUAGUC